CGCUGAGGGAGGGGAGGCCAGGCCGGGAGCCGCCAGGGCCCGCAAAGGAUCCGUGGGGAUCCGACCCGGGUGUCCCGGGACACAACGGGCUGGGACUGAGCCAGCAGGGCCCUUGCGGCCUAGAAACCCAGUGAAAUCCUGGGGUACACUGCCAGCAGGUCGAAGGAGGUGGUCCUACCGGUCUACUCAGCCCUGGUGAGGCCACAUCGGGAGUGCUGUGUCCAGUUCCGGGCCCAUCAGUACGAGAGAGACUUGGAGCACCUGGGGCAGGUCCAUGGGAGGGCAACAAGGUUGGCUGGGGGUUUGAAGCAUCUUUCUUAUGAGGACAGGCUGAGGAAGCUGGGCCUGUUCAGCCUUGAGAUGAGAUGACUGAGAUUGGACUUCAUUAAUGUGUAUAAAUACCUAAAGGGUGGAUGCCAAGGAGAUGGAGCCAGGUUCUUCUUGGUGGGGCCAAGCAAUAGGAUGAGAAUGGCAGAAACUGAUGCUCAGGAAAUUCCACCUGAAUAUGAGGAAAAGCUUCUUUACUGUGUGUGUGGUGACUGAGCACCAGAACAGAUUUCCUGAAGAGUUUGUGGAGUCUCCCUCACUGGAGAUAUUCAAGCACCCUCUGGAUGCAGUCAUGUGCCAUGUGCUCCAGGGUGGCCGUGCCUGAGCAGGGAGGUUGGAUCAGAUGACCCAGUGUGGUCUCUUCCAACCUGACCCACUCUGAUCUGUGAAUUGCUGUGAGCGCUGUGGCAUCCAUCAAGGCUGAGCUCUGCCUAUGGCAGCAGGACUGCACUGGCUGUGUGUAUGUCUCCAAUCACAGGAUCCUUUCCAGUGUGUCCCUGUAUCCAUUGUGAUAUAUGUCUCUGCAAAAUUGCAGUAUACAUUGUUACUCAGCAAUUACUCAAAAAUAUAAAGCAGAUCCUUAAGUGUGCAAUGGCUAAAACUUGGCAGCUACUUCCAAGCUUUGGGGUCUCUUGAGGUUUGGAGACACUUGUUGAGCAGAGCUCUUGCUUUCUCUGCCAGUGGAAAUAGGGUGGUUAAGUACUGGAAUGGACUGCCCAGGGAGGUGAUGGGGUCAACAUCCCUGGUGGUGUUCAGGAAACUACUAGUUGUGGCACUUGGUGCCAUGGUCUGGUUGACAAAGUGGUGAUCAGUCAAAGGUUGAACUAGAAGAUCUCAAAGGUCUUUUCAGCCCUGAAUGAUUCUAUGAUUCUGUACAACUCAUGCAUUGUUUGUUCUGGGACUCACGGAGCAUGACCAGUGUACAGGAGACAGCAAGUUGUUCCCUUCCUUGCAGCAGAGGAAGAGACCAUAGCCAUGAUGCAAUGAAACCUGUUGGUCUCUCACAGUAGUCCUGACCAGAAUGGUUGCAGACAAAGGAGUCAGUGGAACACACAUGAAUUAAACAUCCAGCAUGGCUUUGGGCCUGUGUUGUCCUGCACAAAACCCUUGUCCCCACAGAAGAACCUCAGCCCAUUGUAAAGGAGAAAGUUGCUGGCUGUCCCACUUCAUACCAUGCAGCAAGGAAUUCUCAUGUGCACAUCCUUUCUGUUUGACAGCAGAAAUUAAUGGAUUUUCUUUCAUGCAAGAAAAUCCUAGAACAGCUUGAAUGACCAAAAUGAGGUAACCCUUUCUGCAGACAGGGUCUGUAUGAUGCAGUGUACUUGCACUGGAGGCCCAUUCAAGGCUUCACAACUUAAGGCCCCCAGUAUCAAUAGGGAGCUGCAGCACCAAGGAAUGAACAUCAUCCCACUUGAAGAUGCUCUACAACUGGCAUCUCCUGAUCUAGUGUAAUAUAACUUCAGCUUCUUCUCAUCCUCUUCAUAAACAUCUGUCUUCAUCUUUGAAAUUGUACAGUAAUUGUAAAAUGCUGGCUGCAAUAAACGAAGCAGUUUUCAUUUUGCAGAAGGGGAAAGAAAAACUUACCCUGAGAAGUAUCCCUCCACAGGUGUCACUUGAAACAGGACAAUCCUGGCCAAGGGUGGGAAGAAGAUGCAGUCUCUCUGAGGAACAUGUAGAGCAAGAAGCAAAACCACUUCUGAGAGUGUUAAGGACUAAGUGUGUGAGACCUGGACUGUUCUCACCUUGCUAUAAGGUGCUUUGCCUUCCAAGGACAUCUUGUCCUCAGCACUGUCUGGGAUGGUUGCUACAAAGUUUCACUCUGUCUAAUUCUGUAAGUACAUACCUACAUACAUACAGGUGCCAUAGGUACAGGUGCCUGCAGUGCCCCCCAAGCAUGACAGAUCUCCACAAAAGCCCCUUUUGAGGCUGACUUCAGGUUCCCCAAUUUUUGACCUUGGCAAAAAUACCUAGGUGGAAGACAGCAGUCCUGCCCCACCACCUCCCUUGUCUGUGGCUUCCUGAACCUUCAGGAACUGAACUUCAGUUGCAGUGACAACUAUCUUGGCCAUGGUGCACUUUUGUUUUGACUUGCAGGAAAAGAUUCAGGAGCUGUUGGGAUGAGUGAAGCAGGGAGCAAAGGGUUAAUAGGGAUAAAGAGAGGGUGACCUACUGUACAAUCACCUUGACUGUGUACUGUCCUGGGAAGCACCAGGAACAUGGGGGGCACUGAACUUCAGACCUGAUGAAUCUGGCACUGCUCCAGGAUCUGAACUUAGAUGAGGAAUCUGUUUUCAGUGGCCUUAGACAGCCACAAGUGUCAUCCAGAGCAGCUGGAAAUGGGAGAAGGAAACUGCUGGAUCUCAGCAUUCAAUCUGGGACAGAAGACAUUUUCUCCCGUGCUCAGCAUCUGCCCUGGACCAGCCAGUAGGAAAAUCUUCACAUUAGUUCCUUAUAUCUGUAUUAUAAUUUGUAUCACAGAGAUGCAGCUCAUUUUACUGGAUGUCACUUUCAUGAAGAUUAAAAUUUUUUGUUGUCUGUGCCAAAAUCCUAAUUUCUGUAUAGAAGCUGGUGUGAAAAAGUCUAUUUCUCUGGCUGCAAGCAGCCACCAAAAGACUUCAUAUUUGCAUUGCAUCUGCUCCAACUGGAGGUCAGCCCUGCCUGCUCAUACCUUGCAAGCUUUGCUCUGACCCAUUCCAGUUUGGAUUGUUUUCUGUGACAGUGUGUUAAAAAAUGAAUUUGUUUUUAUUAAAGCAUAUCAAAACCAAAGUAGAUUCAAUUUUAAAUAAUUUAGGACGAUAUAACCAGUGUAUUUUGGUGUUAGAGCUCAGAAGUAGUGUUAGGUCGAAAGAAGUGGUGACAAAUUAAUGGAUAGAGCCUGUUGGAAUCUUAAUGCUUUUUAAGAUGCCAGAGAUGAAAGCUGAUAUAUUUAGCAAUCAAUGCUAUGAAAUUUCAGAAGGCAAGAAUUAGUUUCUUAGAAAGACAUGAAACUGAAACAGUCCCACAGUCAUCAAAAAAGUGUAGUGAGUUUUUUUCCCUUGAGACACAGAGGAUCAUUUAAUUAAAAAAAACAAAAUCAACAAGUAGAAGAGCUGCAAUCUUACCAAAAUCUUUCUUGUGCUGGGAAGAGGUGGCCUAAGUGUCAGUAAACAAUAUGGAUUUUUGAAUGCUUUGUUUCUAAUUAGAAAAUCUAUUUUCUUAAAUGCAAAUAUCUAUCUAGUUUUGGGUCUGAUAAUAUAAAUCUAAUACAUUAUUUUACACAUAAGAAAGAAGUCUUUUAUGAUGAGGUUGGUAAAACACUGGAACAGUGCAGGGAGGUGGUGGCAGCCCCAUCCCUAUAAACAUUCAAGAUCAGGUUGAAUGGGGCUCUGAGGAACCUGGCCUAGCUGAAGAUGUCUCUGCUCAUUGCAGGGGGAGACUGGGCUAAAUGAUUUUUAAAGCUCCCUUCCAAUCCAAACUGUUCCAAUUCUAUGAUACUUGAUACCAUUUUGAAGUCCUAGCCACUCAUUACCUGCAGCAUGUGCUUACUAUUCCAACUCAAAUAUAUCAGGAACCUCAGAAAAUAUAUUUGAAACUUAUUUGUAAGUUGCUAUUGACCCCUUCAAAGUCCACAUUGCUUUAUUUGCCUUGAGCAGUUAAAAGAGAGUAUUAAGAAAUAGUAAAUAAGAUUUAAGAAAUAAUUGGAGCAUGGGAUUGAUGGGAUUGUAGCACAGGGGAUGCAAAUAAAGCCUGGCUGGCACAACACUGUCUACUGUGCAAAACUAGAACCCAAAACCAUGUCCUGUAACAUGAGACAUGGCUGUAAAAAAGGCAGAGAUCUGCUACACUGAAGGACUGAAGAUUGAUAAAAUCAAUUUGAAAGCUUAAGAUUAUUAGGGUUUUAGACUGCAGCUCAAGCAGAAUAGGAGGUUAAAAGAUAAGGAUUGCUUGAACAAAAAAAGUUUGAUUUUUUUGUUUGUUUUUAAAGAGAAGCAAGUUGAACAGCAUUCCAGUACACUACUACUUUAAUAGAAUUCCUUGUAAAAAACAGCUGCAUUUUUUUUAGGUGACAUGCCUGUAUCUGGAAAUGUAUUCUCGUUUGUCCUUGAAUAAUUUCCCAUGGUGUGCAUGUUAGUGGAAAAUGGCAUCUUUCACCCUUCUUAUAGUUUUUAAUGCUGAACUUCAGCAUAGUUUAUGACAGUUUCUCAAAAAUGUUUCCAGUUGCCAAGAAAGAGAUAACUGAAAGAAUGCAAACAAAUAACCUUGAUUCACAGACCUCUGCUUCUUUUCAGCUUGUCUUGACAGGCACACAGAGUGUCCAGGCAGUUCUUUCAACCCUUAUCAUUGCAGAAUGCAGACCCACGCUUCUUGCAGUGAAUUUCUUGCUUCUUUAGGAUGCAGAAUAAAACAUUAACAUAAAAUUUGUGCAACAAAGGUUGGCUGUAUAUCAACAGCAGUAGAAAUAGUACUGGCAGAAAACCUAUUUGCAGAGAAGGAGCUGCUUUGAGUUAAUGCAGUGCCUACCUAACCCCCACACACAACCUCCCCCCCCCCAUCCCAUGACAGAAAAAAAGGUCUCAGACUCAUGUUCCACUGAAUCAGAUUAUCCCAUAUAUAAUUCAGGACAGUACCUGACAUAGGAUCACUUGUUUAGCCACAGUAAUUUUAUUCUGAGUUGGUCACUGAUGGUCCAGGGUUUGGUGAAAACGUGCUUCUAUGAGUAGAACAGCUGCUCAACACUACAUGUCACAUACCAUUAUACAAACCCUCAGGCAUUUGCAUGAGGCAAGAGAAGUUUCUGCUGGACAAUAUUACCCCAAUAAGGAUUUUUUUUUCACCCUAGUUUAUAGUGCAUUUUUAUGAGUUCUGAAGGAGAAAGCAUGUUCUGGAAGCUCACGAUGAGAAAAUAACUUUGAAGUAUUUACCAUCCCCUCAUCACACCCUGUGUAUGCAGUCCUGUCAGUUAGAACAACCAGUCAGUGGAAAAACCUCCUCAAGCUUGCAGAAGACCACCCCAUCACCGGGGGUUUCCAAGGUGCAACAGUGCUAGAUAAUGUAAUCAAGGCUCCAUUUCCCACCAAAACUUGGACAAGGUGAACUUUAGAGGCCCCUUCCAACCUGAGCUCUUCUAUGGUUCUAUGUUUAUUGCAUGACUGACUAUGAGAAAAAAAAAUAAAUUGUUUUCUAAUGUUUUCAUUUCCAGUAAAU